rfam:Salmo salar isolate Sally breed double haploid chromosome ssa11, whole genome shotgun sequence.
CCCCGUAGCUCAGUUGGUAGAGCAUGGUGUUUGCAACGCCAGGGUUGUGGGUUCGUUUCCCACGGGGG